AUAAAGUUGUAAUCAUCUUGCUUUUAUGCUAGGCUUCAAUGGUUGGCCAUAAGUAUGGUGUCCUUAGGUGGAGAAAAACUGGCAAGAAAACUAUUGAAGGCACUACAGCUGGUAUAACAUCUGUCCUCGCUGCUUGCUUGGUUCUGGUUCCACUUUUGGCAUCCACUGGAUACGUUCUAACUCAGCACUGGCUCCCUAUUUUAAUAGCUAUGACCAUAAACGGUCUGUUGGAGGCCUACACAACGCAACUUGAUAAUGCUUUUAUACCACUUGUCUUCUACAGCCUCCUUUGUUUGUAAAUGCAUACUUCAACCUUCCAGAAAGUUUAAACAGGUGAGAAUUCCUUACACGCUUCCAUCUAGAUGUUUUUUCUUUUUUAUUCUUUAGUAGAUAUUACUAACUGCCAUCAGGGAAUACAAAGAGUCUGUUGCAUACCAUGCCCAUUGUAGUUUCAAAGUAAUCCAGAAUUGCUCGUAAGAUGAGCCUAAUGUUUUAUACUUUGUUGGACUUGGCAGUUAUAAGCCCUCAAAAAGGGGUAAGAAUGUUUAAUGUUAAGCUGUCUUUUUGAUCUGAUUCUAACAUCUGGUUAACAUUUGGUGUUAAUGAAAUUGCAGUCCUUUGUAUAACUCGAGAGUUGUGCUUCGACAACUUACUAGUGCUCAAGCUCAACGCAGGGGAAGGCAUGUAAUUGAGGUGUUGAAAAAGCUUGUUUGUCGCAGAAUCCUCUACCAUUCUUACUCCAUGCAAGUUUAUGGUUAUGUAUCAUCACAUAAAAGUGGCAGUCGUAGCUCAUUAACUCU